GCCGGGCGGUCCGUCGCCGGCAGGUUUACGAACGCUGUCGGAGGAAAGUCCGGGCAACAAAGAGCACCAUACUUCCUAACAGGAAGCUGCGGGCAACUGCAGAAUCAACGUGGAAGAAAACAACCGCUCCGCGGCCUCUGAGCCGCGGAGUAAGGGUGAGAAGGUGGGGUAAGAGCCCACCGGGUGCCGCUGAGAGGCGGCAUGCCGCACGUCUUAUGGGUUGCAAGGUCAAGUAAACCGGCAUUUAAGGGCUGCUCGUCCGUUGCCGGAGGGUAGACUGCUACCGUCGGAGGCUUUCGCUUCCGCAAUUAGCCGCGCGGCAACGCACGGCAUAGAUAAAUGACGGACCGGAGUGCAAGGUCUUCGCCCCAAAAGGUCAACGAAACCCGCACGCCGACAUAACCCGGCUUACACCCCGGCUGC
rnacentral:RNase_P_RNA from 1 species